AGAUGGCGACCGGCGCACGGGUGAGUAACACGUAUCCAACCUGCCGAUAACUCGGGGAUAGCCUUUCGAAAGAAAGAUUAAUACCCGAUGGUAUAAUCAGACCGCAUGGUUUGAUAUUUAAAGAAUUUCGGUUAUCGAUGGGGAUGCGUUCCAUUAGGCAGUUGGUGAGGUAACGGCUCACCAAACCUUCGAUGGAUAGGGGUUCUGAGAGGAAGGUCCCCCACAUUGGAACUGAGACACGGUCCAA
rnacentral:rRNA from 1 species